UCGCCUCGGAUUUGGGGGCUUCCUCACUCGUGGCUUUCCGAAGGCUGCUGGUCAAGCUGAACUAGCAGAAAUUCCAGAAGGCUAUGUCCCAGAACACUGGGAAUAUUAUAAGCAUCCCAUAUCGAGAUGGAUUGCCCGUAAUUUCUAUGAUAGUCCUGAAAAGAUAUAUGAAAGA
rnacentral:sRNA from 1 species